rnacentral:rRNA from 1 species
GACGAACGCUGGCGGCGUGCCUAAUACAUGCAAGUCGAGCGGACGAAUCGAAAGCUUGCUUUUGAUUCGUUAGCGGCGGACGGGUGAGUAACACGUGGGCAACCUGCCCUGUAGACGGGGAUAACACCGAGAAAUCGGUGCUAAUACCGGAUAACACGAAAUGUCGCAUGACGUUUCGUUGAAAGACGGCGCAAGCUGCCGCUACAGGAUGGGCCCGCUGCGCAUGGGCUAGUUGGUGAGGUAACGGCUCACCAAGGCGACGAUACGGAGCCGACCUGAGGGGGGGAUCGGCAACACUGGGACUGAGACACGGCCCAGACUCCUACGGGAGGCAGCAGUAGGGAAUCUUCCGCAAUGGACGAAAGUCUGACGGAGCACCGCCGCGUGAGGGAGGAAGGCCUUCGGGUCGUAAAGCUCUGUUGUUAGGGAAGAACAAGUAACGCAGUAACUGGCGUUACCGUGACGGUACCUAACGAGAAAGCCACGGCUAACUACGUG